AACAGCUACAAACGCCCACAUCACACGCAGAAAUCCGCAUCAACAGCCAGCCAUGGCGUCCACGCUGACCAACGUCGGCCUGUCUACCCCGGCGGCGGCGGCGUCGUCCCUCGUUAGGCCGGUCGCCGGAGCUGGACGCGUGGUGUUUCCCCGUGUUGGCCGCGGCGGGUUCGCGGCGGUGAGGGCGAGCGGGCCGGCGACGCCGCCGGACAUCUCGGACAAGAUGUCGGAGAGCAUCGACAAGGCGAAGGAGGCGUGCGCGGAGGACACGGCGAGCGGCGAGUGCGCGGCGG
rnacentral:misc_RNA from 1 species